rnacentral:lncRNA from 1 species
CGGCCUCCCGGCAGGCGGACCUCCACCGGGUGGACCCAGGGGCAGCUGCGGCUAGUCCAUUUGGAGCUCCUUCAAGCCGAAGCAUCCAACACCAGUGUCUGUGAGGUGUGGGCCCGGCCCCAGGAGCGGGGCCUGGGCAGCCCCGUGUGUUGAGGAAGGAAGGCAGGGCCCCCGCUCCCCGGGCCUGACCCCACUGCUUCAGCCCCCUCCUGCCUGCCUACAGCCUGGCCUCGAGGGCCCAUCAGAUGGAGUCUCACUGUAGUCCAGAUGGAGUGCAAUGGCGUGAUCUCGGCUCACUGCAAGCUCCGCCUCCCCGGUUCACGCCAUUCU